rnacentral:piRNA from 1 species
UGUAAAUGAAAUUAGGCCUAU